UACCCGCUGAACUUAAGCAUAUCAAUAAGCGGAGGAAAAGAAACUAACAAGGAUUCCCCUAGUAACUGCGAGUGAAGCGGGAAAAGCUCAAAUUUAAAAUCUGGCGGUCUUUGGCCGUCCGAGUUGUAGUCUGGAGAAGUGCUUUCCGCGCUGGACCGUGUAUAAGUCUCUUGGAACAGAGCGUCAUAGAGGGUGAGAAUCCCGUCUUUGACACGGACUACCAGUGCUUUGUGAUGCGCUCUCAAAGAGUCGAGUUGUUUGGGAAUGCAGCUCAAAAUGGGUGGUGAAUUCCAUCUAAAGCUAAAUAUUGGCGAGAGACCGAUAGCGAACAAGUACCGUGAGGGAAAGAUGAAAAGCACUUUGGAAAGAGAGUUAAACAGUACGUGAAAUUGCUGAAAGGGAAACGCUUGAAGUCAGUCGCGUCGUCCGGAACUCAGCCUUGCUUUUGCUUGGUGCACUUUCCGGAUGACGGGUCAGCAUCGAUUUUGACCGUCGGAAAAGGGCUGGAGUAAUGUGGCACCUCCGGGUGUGUUAUAGACUCUGGUCGCAUACGGCGGUUGGGAUCGAGGAACGCAGCGCGCCGCAAGGCAGGGGUUCGCCCACUUUCGCGCUUAGGAUGCUGGCAUAAUGGCUUUAAACGACCCGUCUUGAAACACGGACCAAGGAGUCUAACAUACCUGCGAGUGUUUGGGUGGAAAACCCGAGCGCGCAAUGAAAGUGAAAGUUGAGACCCCUGUCGUGGGGGGCAUCGACGCCCGGACCUGACGUUCUCUGACGGUUCCGCGGUAGAGCAUGUAUGUUGGGACCCGAAAGAUGGUGAACUAUGCCUGAAUAGGGUGAAGCCAGAGGAAACUCUGGUGGAGGCUCGUAGCGAUUCUGACGUGCAAAUCGAUCGUCAAAUUUGGGUAUAGGGGCGAAAGACUAAUCGA
rnacentral:rRNA from 1 species